rnacentral:rRNA from 1 species
GCUUAAAAUCCAAAGGACUUGACGGUGUCCCAUCCCCCUAGAGGAGCCUGUUCUACAAUCGAUGAUCCCCGCUACACCUCACCACUUCUUGCUUUUAUGCAGCCUGUAUACCUCCGUCGCAAGCUUGCCAUAUGAAUGAAUCAUAGCAGGCUCAAUGGCCCAUUUUCGCCAAUACGUCAGGUCAAGGUGCAGCCUAUGAAGUGGGAAGCAAUGGGCUACAAUUUCUAAUUUAGAACAAACGAACAACCAUCUGAAACUAUGGUCAUGAAGGUGGAUUUAGUAGUAAAGGGAGAUAAUAGCGCCCCCUUUAAUAGUGGCCAUGAGACGCGUACAAACCGCCCGUCACCCUCUUCAACAGCAUAUCCUUAGUUAAUAACAUACACUCGCACUUUAGAGGAGGCAAGUCGUAACACGGUAAGUGUACUGGAAAGUGCACUUGGAUAGGCAAGAUGUAGCUUAGUAAAGCCUUCCGCUUACACCGGAAAAACAUCUGUUGAACUCAGAUCAUCUUGAGCUAUAAAUCUA